UUGCUGUGAGGACUUACCUUAGGACACCUUUGGAAUGCCCGUGAAAAAAAAAAUGACACGAAUUCUGAGCAAC
rnacentral:snoRNA from 1 species